UACGUAGGGAUGCAAGCGUUGUCCGGAUUUACUGGGCGUAAAGGGCGCGCAGGCGGCACUACAAGUACUGGGUGAAAUCGUCCCUGCUCAACGGGGAGGGUGCUUUAGUAAGACUGUAGAGCUAGAGGUGGGUAGAGGGUGGUGGAAUUGCUGGUGUAGCGGUAGAAAUGCGUAGAGAGUCAGCAGGAACACCCGUGGCGAAGGCGGCCACCUGGGCCUAACCUGACGCUGAGGCGACGAAGGGCUAGGGGGAGCGAACAGGG
rnacentral:rRNA from 1 species